rnacentral:rRNA from 1 species
UUGAACGCUGGCGGCAGGCCUAACACAUGCAAGUCGAACGGUAACAGGAAACAGCUUGCUGUUUCGCUGACGAGUGGCGGACGGGUGAGUAAUGUCUGGGAAACUGCCUGAUGGAGGGGGAUAACUACUGGAAACGGUAGCUAAUACCGCAUAACGUCGCAAGACCAAAGAGGGGGACCUUCGGGCCUCUUGCCAUCGGAUGUGCCCAGAUGGGAUUAGCUUGUUGGUGGGGUAACGGCUCACCAAGGCGACGAUCCCUAGCUGGUCUGAGAGGAUGACCAGCCACACUGGAACUGAGACACGGUCCAGACUCCUACGGGAGGCAGCAGUGGGGAAUAUUGCACAAUGGGCGCAAGCCUGAUGCAGCCAUGCCGCGUGUAUGAAGAAGGCCUUCGGGUUGUAAAGUACUUUCAGCGGGGAGGAAGGGAGUAAAGUUAAUACCUUUGCUCAUUGACGUUACCCGCAGAAGAAGCACCGGCUAACUCCGUGCCAGCAGCCGCGGUAAUACGGAGGGUGCAAGCGUUAAUCGGAAUUACUGGGCGUAAAGCGCACGCAGGCGGUUUGUUAAGUCAGAUGUGAAAUCCCCGGGCUCAACCUGGGAACUGCAUCUGAUACUGGCAAGCUUGAGUCUCGUAGAGGGGGGUAGAAUUCCAGGUGUAGCGGUGAAAUGCGUAGAGAUCUGGAGGAAUACCGGUGGCGAAGGCGGCCCCCUGGACGAAGACUGACGCUCAGGUGCGAAAGCGUGGGGAGCAAACAGGAUUAGAUACCCUGGUAGUCCACGCCGUAAACGAUGUCGACUUGGAGGUUGUGCCCUUGAGGCGUGGCUUCCGGAGCUAACGCGUUAAGUCGACCGCCUGGGGAGUACGGCCGCAAGGUUAAAACUCAAAUGAAUUGACGGGGGCCCGCACAAGCGGUGGAGCAUGUGGUUUAAUUCGAUGCAACGCGAAGAACCUUACCUGGUCUUGACAUCCACGGAAGUUUUCAGAGAUGAGAAUGUGCCUUCGGGAACCGUGAGACAGGUGCUGCAUGGCUGUCGUCAGCUCGUGUUGUGAAAUGUUGGGUUAAGUCCCGCAACGAGCGCAACCCUUAUCCUUUGUUGCCAGCGGUCCGGCCGGGAACUCAAAGGAGACUGCCAGUGAUAAACUGGAGGAAGGUGGGGAUGACGUCAAAUCAUCAUGCCCUUUAUGUCCUGGGCUACACACGUACUACAAUGGCUAUAACAAAGAGAAGCGAAGCAGUGAUGUGGAGCAAAACUCAAAAAAGUAGUCUCAGUUCGGAUUGUAGGCUGAAAUUCGCCUACAUGAAGCCGGAAUUGCUAGUAAUGGCAGGUCAGCAUACUGCCGUGAAUACGUUCCCGGGCCUUGUACACACCGCCCGUCACACCAUGAGAGUUGGGAAUACCCGAAGCCUGUGAGCUAACUGAAAAGAGGCAGCAGUCGAAGGUAGAAUCAAUGAUUGGGGUG